GGUUUCCGUAGGUGAACCUGCGGAAGGAUCAUUAGUGAAUUGCUCUUUGAGCGUUAACUACAUCCAUCUACACCUGUGAACUGUUGAUUGACUCUGGUCAAUUACUUUACAAACAUUGUGUAAUGAACGUCAUGUUAUUAUAACAAAAAUAACUUUCAACAACGGAUCUCUUGGCUCUCGCAUCGAUGAAGAACGCAGCGAAAUGCGAUAAGUAAUGUGAAUUGCAGAAUUCAGUGAAUCAUCGAAUCUUUGAACGCAACUUGCGCUCUCUGGUAUUCCGGAGAGCAUGCCUGUUUGAGUAUCAUGAAAUCUCAACCAUUAGGGUUUCUUAAUGGCUUGGAUUUGGGCGCUGCCACUUGCCUGGCUCGCCUUAAAAGAGUUAGCGUGUUUAACUUGUCGAUCUGGCGUAAUAAGUUUCGCUGGUGUAGACUUGAGAAGUGCGCUUCUAAUCGUCUUCGGACAAUUCUUGAACUCUGGUCUCAAAUCAGGUAGGACUACCCGCUGAACUUAAGCAUAUCAAUAA
rnacentral:rRNA from 1 species